rnacentral:rRNA from 1 species
GGGUCCGAGUUGUAAUUUGCAGAGGAUGCUUUUGGUGCGGUGCCUUCCGAGUUCCCUGGAACGGGACGCCUUAGAGGGUGAGAGCCCCGUACGGUUGGACACCAAGCCUAUGUAAAGCUCCUUCGACGAGUCGAGUAGUUUGGGAAUGCUGCUCAAAAUGGGAGGUAUAUUUCUUCUAAAGCUAAAUAUUGGCCAGAGACCGAUAGCGCACAAGUAGAGUGAUCGAAAGAUGAAAAGCACUUUGAAAAGAGGGUUAAAUAGCACGUGAAAUUGUUGAAAGGGAAGGAUUUAUGACCAGACUUUUUCUAGGGGGAUCAUCCGGUGUUCUCACCGGUGCACUUCCCCUAGUUGAGGCCAGCAUCGGUUUCUGUCGGGGGAUAAAAGCUUUAGGAAUGUGGCUCCCUCCGGGGAGUGUUAUAGCCUGUUGCAUAAUACCCUGACGGGGACCGAGGUUCGCGCAUUGCAAGGAUGCUGGCGUAAUGGUUAUUAAUCACCCGUCUUGAAACACGGACCAAGGAGUCGAACAUUUGUGCGAGUGUUUGGGUGUUAAACCCUCACGCGUAAUGAAAGUGAACGGAGGUGAGAGCCUUUCGGGGUGCAUCAUCGACCGAUCCUGAUGUCUUCGGAUGGAUUUGAGUAAGAGCAUUAAUGUUCGGACCCGAAAGAUGGUGAACUAUGCGUGGAUAGGGUGAAGCCAGAGGAAA